GCCUAUAGGUUGGGGACAACAGAUGGAAACGUCUGCUAAUACCGAAUAUGCCGAGAGGUAAAAGCUUUAGUGCCUGUAGAUGAGCUCGCGUCCGAUUAGCUAGUUGGUAAGGUAAGAGCUUACCAAGGCGACGAUCGGUAGCUGGUCUGAGAGGAUGAUCAGCCACACUGGGACUGAGACACGGCCCAGACUCCUACGGGAGGCAGCAGUGGGGAAUUUUCCGCAAUGGGCGAAAGCCUGACGGAGCAAUACCGCGUGCGGGACGAAGGCUUUUGGGUCGUAAACCGCUUUUGUUAGGGAAGAACACAAUGACGGUACCUAACGAAUCAGCAUCGGCUAACUCCGUGCCAGCAGCCGCGGUAAUACGGGGGAUGCAAGCGUUAUCCGGAAUUAUUGGGCGUAAAGCGUCCGCAGGUGGUUUAUCAAGUCUGCUGUUAAAUAGUGGGGCUUAACCCCAUAAAGGCAGUGGAAACUGAGAGACUAGAGUACGGUAGGGGUAGCGGGAAUUCCCAGUGUAGCGGUGAAAUGCGUAGAUAUUGGGAAGAACACCAGCGGCGAAGGCGCGCUACUGGGCCGAAACUGACACUCAUGGACGAAAGCUAGGGGAGCGAAAGGGAUUAGAUACCCCUGUAGUCCUAGCUGUAAACGAUGACAACUAGGUGUUGCGCGUAUCGAC
rnacentral:rRNA from 1 species